AAGCAGCAAAGGUUUGCGAAGGAAACUUUGGAAAUCUUUGCUCCUCUUGCUAAUCGCUUAGGCAUCUCAACCUGGAAGGAGCAGCUGGAAAACCUCUGCUUUAAACAUCUUAACCCAGACAAGCACAAUGAGCUCUCGUCCAAACUUGUUAAGUCUUUUGAUGAGGCUAUGAUUACUUCAUCUGUGGGGAAAUUGUCAGCACAAUGAGCUAUCAUCGAAACUUGUUAAGUCUUUUGAUGAGGCUAUGAUUACUUCUUCCGUGGGGAAAUUGGAGCAAGCGCUAAAGGAUGACUCUGUUUCUUAUCAUGUUCUCUCGGGGCGUCACAAGAGCUUGUACAGCAUUUAUAGCAAGAUGCUAAAGUAAUUUCUCUCUUCUCUCCCCCCUCUCCCCUAACCCACUCGUUAAGCACUGGAGAAAAAGAGAAAAGGAAAGGCCCAUGUGUGGAUGAAGUAUAUUGGCUCAUUUAAUCCUGUAAGAAUUGCACCAAUGGAUUUGGCUAAUCAAUCAAUUAUUUACUAUUUAGUGCUUGUAGUUCAUAGAUAGACAAUGCUAUAUCCGUGUUUUGAGUUUGAUGAUAAUUAAUUGUCCUUGAUAUCACAUCUUAGAAACUUCCGGACGCCUUUUGCAUUUCCUGUCAUGUGCAUGUUUAUUUUUUUUUUUUUACUGAUGUUGCUUUAUGUCACCGAAAAUAUCUACAGGAAGAAGCUUAAUAUGGAUGAAGUCCAUGACAUUCAUGGGUUAAGGUUGAUAGUUGAAAAUAAAGAAGACUGUUAUAAAGCACUUCGAGUUGUUAA
rnacentral:lncRNA from 1 species